CUUCAGCCGUUUUGCUCUCUUCCCUCUAUUAUUUUCUUCUUCUUCCCACAACCGAGAGCCUCAAAGGCUAACCACAUCGCCACUCGCACCAUCGGCCACCAUGACCGACGCGUGACCACCACCCAAGUGGCCUCCAUAUGCGAAUGAAAACAACCCUUAUAAAGCCUUAAGUUGAUGCCUUUCUCUUAACCUUUCGGUAAAGAUCCAAACACAACAAAGAUCUUCACCGAAAGUUUUGAAAUCCUCUACAUCGUUUCUCUCUUCUCGACUCCGGUGAAGAUCCAAACACAACAAAGGUUUCCCGAGCAACCUUCAAUGUUUCAGUCUCAAACCUAGUGGCUCAAAUUGAAUCUUCAAAAAGGAUUGGACCUUGGUUUAGUAUCUCCAGAGGUCCUACAGAACUUUUUUUGAUAUGGAGCAAUAUCCUCUUAUUUCAGAGCUUACACACCGUUUCCAGGGAUUCAGGGAAAGAUUAUUGGUAGAAUGCAUCAUGAUUUUCCUUUAUACUUUCCAGACAGUUAAUGAUAAAGUUGAGAUGUAUCGCUAAAAAAGGAAAAUGGGAAAACAAUUAUGGCUGCACUCUUCCAGAACCAGGAAAAUAUUGUAGAAGAGGUAGUGUUUUUCAUGUUUCCAUCUCAGGACUUAUGAUUGAGGCAUCUGCUUGUUAUAUCCAAACUGUUCUAUUAUUUAUUUGGAGCCAAAACUGUAUCCAUUAUUUUUCUUAUUGCUGAUACUUCAGGUAGUUAUAGAACCAAUAAUUAAAAUACCCCGAGAAAUCCUUCAACAAUAUGGUAUACAUAUGGAGUAGAAGAACACUACCUCCUGUUGUUGAUUCCUCCAUGGGUUUUUUUAUGGUUGACCUCUCCCCCCUUUUCUGAUGAUGAUUGAGACUAUAUCCUUGAUAUUUUCUCUGUCUUGUUGUGCUUGGAGCUCUGUCUCUUGUUUUGUGUGUCUGCAGGGCAUGGAUUCGAGCAUGGCCAAUGAGCAUUGGUUUUAGUGGAUAGCCGACCAGCAUGGGUCUUCUUCGGUGGGUUCACGUGGAUGGUGCACUGUCCCGGGCUUCCUCCUGGUGGAUUUGCACAUGUUAAUAUAAUAAACAUGAGUGAUAAUAAUACUAAUAAUUAUUAUAAAAAAACUUCAAAGCUUAU